GCAGACUCUUUUGCUUGGAGGAGUUCCUUGACUCAGCAUGGUGCCCAUUUCUAAGCAAUGCUAGAUCCUUUCUGACAAAAACAGAUUUAGAUGUUGCAGUUGAGUAAAAAUACAGACUGGGAUUUGAAGCAGGAGCCUCAUAGCGGUCCUGAUCAGGAAACAUCUUCUCCAAGACUAGGAAAGCCAGCAGGCCAACAAUUACCCAAAGGCCCUGGGAUAUGUAGUGGUCUUG